rnacentral:rRNA from 1 species
UACGAAGGGUGCAAGCGUUAAUCGGAAUCACUGGGCGUAAAGGGUGCGUAGGCGGGUCUUUAAGUCAGAGGUGAAAUCCUGGAGCUCAACUCCAGAACUGCCUUUGAUACUGAGGGUCUUGAGUAUGACAGAGGUGAGUGGAACUGCGAGUGUAGAGGUGAAAUUCGUAGAUAUUCGCAAGAACACCAGUGGCGAAGGCGGCUCACUGGCCCGAUACUGACGCUGAGGCACGAAAGCGUGGGGAGCAAACAGG